GUAGGGAAUCUUCCGCAAUGGACGCAAGUCUGACGGAGCAACGCCGCGUGAGUGAUGAAGGUUUUCGGAUCGUAAAACUCUGUUGCGAGGGAAGAAACCGUGCCAACUAACUACUGGCACCUUGACGGUACCUCGCCAGAAAGCCACGGCUAACUACGUGCCAGCAGCCGCGGUAAUACGUAGGUGGCAAGCGUUGUCCGGAAUUAUUGGUCGUACAGCGCGCGCAGGCGGUCCCUUAAGUCUGAUGUGAAAGCCCACGGCUCAACCGUGGAGGGUCAUUGGAAACUGGGUGACUUGAGUGCAGAAGAGGAAAGUGGAAUUCCACGUGUAGCGGUGAAAUGCGUAGAGAUGUGGAGGAACACCAGUGGCGAAGGCGACUUUCUGGUCUGUAACUGACGCUGAGGCGCGAAAGCGUGGGGAGCAAACAGGAUUAGAAACCCUAGUAGUCC
rnacentral:rRNA from 1 species